rnacentral:rRNA from 1 species
CCUACGGGUGGCAGCAGUGGGGAAUAUUGCGCAAUGGGCGCAAGCCUGACCCAGCAACGCCGCGUGAAUGAAGAAGGCUUUCGGGUUGUAAACUUCUUUUAGCAGGGACGAAAAAAGUGACGGUACCUGAGGAAUAAGCCACUGCGAACUACGUGCCAGCAGCCGCGGUACGACGUGGGUGGCAAGCGUUAGCCGGAUUUGUUGGGUGUAAGGGGCGUGUAGGCGGGAGCGGAAGUCAGAUGUGAAAACUCAGGGCUCAACCCUGGGCCUGCAUUUGAAACUGUGUUUCUGGAGUGCUGGAGAGGCAAGCGGAAUUCCGGGUGUAGCGGUGAAAUGCGUAGAUAUAAGGAGGAACACCAGUGGCGAAGGCGGAUUGCUGGACAGUAACUGACGCUGAGGCGCGAAAGCGUGGGGAGCAAACAGGAUUAGAUACCCGAGUAGUC